CUCAUUCGGAUCGGAGCUGNAACCCGACUCCGUGAAGCUGGAUUCGCUAGUAAUCGCGCAUCAGCCAUGGCGCGGUGAAUACGUUCCCGGGCCUUGUACACACCGCCCGUCAAGCCAUGGAAGCCGGGGGCGCUUGAAGUGCGUUGCCGCAAGGCGCGCCCUAGAGCGAAACCGGUGACUGGGGCUAAGUCGUAACAAGGUAUC
rnacentral:rRNA from 1 species